rnacentral:ncRNA from 1 species
AUCGCAAGGGGAGCUUUUGCUGAGAGUUGCCGCAGUAACGCGGCAAGACCCUCAUGACCUGAUACGGAUAAUACCGUCGUAGGGAGCGGAAAG